GCAUGCCGCUGUGAUGAUAAUAGACUGACCCUCUGAAACUAGGACCAGAGUUCGGUUCCCAGUAACCACGCUGGGCAGCUCUCAAGUGGCUGUAAUUUCAGCUCCAUAGGAUCUGACACCAUCUCCUCACAUAUCUACACACACGUGUAUGGACACACACAGAUGUAGUGAGGUGUCAGCAUCUGAAGCGGUGAAAGACCCGAGGCCCCAGUCACACGGGCGAUCCACAUCAGCCAACCACAGCUUCCCUGCAGGCCGGCCUCCCUAGCCAGGCUCCCCUUUCUGGAUGUGUUCUGCUCAAUUUAAGCGGUUCCAGGCAGCCUUUGCAGAAUCUACAGCCACUGUUAUCUCACUCUGUGUCCAACCCAGGAUUAUAUCCGAAUCGCAUCCAUCUAGACCUUAUUGAAGCCGUUCUCCAUAGUUUCAGCCACUUUGACCGAUCUUCCUCAAAGAAUUGCGGGCAUCUUCUUGACUCCUAUGGCCUAACUUGAGACCUCUGGUGGUUUGGAUACAAAUGGCCCCCAUAGGCUCAUAGAUUUGAAGGUUUGGUCUUUAUAGAGUGGUGCCACUGGACAGGGAUUAAUUAGGAGGCGUGGCCUUCUUGGGGUGGGUGUGGCCUCGUUGGAGGAAGCGUGUUACUGGGGCGAGCUUUGGGAUUUCCAAGGCUUUUGGCCCAGUGUCACGCUCUCUUCCUGCUGCCUGAGGAUCCAGAUGCAGGACUCCCAGCUCCUUCUCCAGCACCAUGUCUGCCUGCACG